rnacentral:lncRNA from 1 species
CUAUUGGUCAAUUAUGCAGGCCCUUUUAAAAUUCCAUGCUCAGCUGUUGUGCUGCAUAAGUAAUUAUUUCCUAUUGGGUGUUACAUGACUACUAACUAUAAAUCUUAGUGAAUAACCCACUUGUUUUUUCUGUUCUGACAGAUGCUCCCUAGGAAUGCUUGUUAAAGGGGAGAAGUACUUCUGUCUGCAUCUAGUGAAAUCAGCUCUAUAACAGCUGAAAAAAUAAACUGCUCUGGCCAGGGAUUACACAUCCUGAUUCUCACAGAGUCUUCCAUACAACGUCUUGCAAGGCAUAAGCAGGAAGCAGAAACAGAGCACAUAAAACUUACAAAAAGAAAGCUGAUGAAUGGACCUGAGUGUGUGGCCCAGAGUUCCCUGCAAUAUCAGACACAAAAAAGGGUUUACUAUGCUGGAAAUAAAAUGGAGGCAAGAAGCUAUGUUUUAAUAACACACAGCAGCCCUCUUUCAGAAACUGACAUAUAUUAAAUAGGUUUUGAACGUAACUGAAAAUCAACUGUUUAUCUCUAGUUCUUUUUUAAUUAUUAUUUUCACAUAAUUUAGCUGGCAAAUGCUUUCAGAUCAUUUUUCUGUAGAGAGAAAAUGUCCACAUAUAUGAUAUAUGUUUACUACCAUCACUGGGAUGUUCAGAUUCAUGAGUAGCUUGUGGGAAUUUAACUGAGCAGAGUGUCACACCACUGAUGAUCCUAGCAGUGCAAGGUCACUUGCUGCUGGCCAGGGUCUUUAAUUAAACCGUUCUGCCUUCUAAGAAACCUCUGGAAACACAAUGUUUGAAAGAGAAAUUCAUUGUAUUCUCUUUCAGAUGAACAAGUGGUUUUCAGGAGCAGAAAAUAGUAUCAUCAGCUAUAUAAACUAUUUGUACUAAGUUUGGACUCAUGUAAACCUCCUCCAUUCAAUUUACCUUAUACCUUAAAAGGUGCUUCCUCUUCUGGGGAUUUUCAAAGUAGACUGAAGAACAACAAGG